CCUACGGGAGGCAGCAGUGGGGAAUAUUGCACAAUGGGGGAAACCCUGAUGCAGCGACGCCGCGUGAGUGAAGAAGUAUUUCGGUAUGUAAAGCUCUAUCAGCAGGGAAGAAAAUGACGGUACCUGAUUAAGGAUCCCCGUCUAACUACGUGCCCGCAGCCGCGGUAAUAUGUAGGGGGCAAGCGUUAUCCGGAUUUACUGGGUGUAAAGGGAGCGUCGACGGCAGAACAAGUCUGGAGUGAAAUGCCGGGGCUUAACCCCGGAACUGCUGUGGAAACCGUGCAGCUAGAGUGGAGGAGAGGUAAGUGGAAUUCCUAGUGUAGCGGUGAAAUGCGUAGAUAUUAGGAGGAACACCGGUGGCGAAGGCGGCUUACUGGACUGUAACUGACGUUGAGGCUCGAAAGCGUGGGGAGCAAACAGGAUUAGAUACCCUGGUAGUC
rnacentral:rRNA from 1 species